rnacentral:rRNA from 1 species
GACGAACGCUGGCGGCGUGCUUAACACAUGCAAGUCGAACGGAAAGGCCUUUUCGGAGGUACUCGAGUGGCGAACGGGUGAGUAACACGUGGGUGAUCUGCCCUGCACUCUGGGAUAAGCCUGGGAAACUGGGUCUAAUACCGGAUAGGACCGCACUUUAGUGUGUGUGGUGGAAAGUUUUUUCGGUGUAGGAUGAGCCCGCGGCCUAUCAGCUUGUUGGUGGGGUAAUGGCCUACCAAGGCGGCGACGGGUAGCCGGACUGAGAGGUUGGUCCGCCACAUUGGGACUGAGGUGAGGCCCAGACUCCUACGGGAGGAAGAAGUGGGGAAGAUUGCACAAUGGGCGCAAGCCGGAUGCAGCGACGCCGCGUGGGGGAUGACGGCCUUCGGGUUGUAAACUCCUUUCGACAGGGACGAAGCGUUUUGUGACGGUACCUGGAGAAGAAGCACCGGCUAACUACGUG